GGGUGCAAUCAUACUAGCGUUAAUGCACCCGAUCCCAUCAGAACUCCGCAGUUAAGCGCGCUUGGGAUAGAGUAGAACUGGGAUGGGUGACCUCCCAGGAAGUCCUAGUGUUGCACCCU
rfam:Picea glauca, whole genome shotgun sequence.